GUGGGUGGUGGAAAGUUCUCGGGCUUUGGUCUGGGUUCGGCUGGGAAUGGGCCUGCGGCCUAUCAGCUUGUUGGUGGGGUGAUGGCCUACCAAGGCGACGACGGGUAGCCGGCCUGAGAGGGCGACCGGCCACACUGGGACUGAGACACGGCCCAGACUCCUACGGGAGGCAGCAGUGGGGAACAUUGCGCAAUGGGCGGAAGCCUGACGCAGCGACGCCGCGUGGGGGAUGACGGCCUUCGGGUUGUAAACCUCUUUCGCCAUCGACGAAGGUUCUGUGGUUGUGAGGCUGCAGGGUUGACGGUAGGUGGAGAAGAAGCACCGGCCAACUACGUGCCAGCAGCCGCGGUAAUACGUAGGGUGCGAGCGUUGUCCGGAAUUAUUGGGCGUAAAGAGCUCGUAGGCGGUGUGUCGCGUCGGCCGUGAAAACCUGCAGCUUAACUGUGGGCGUGCGGUCGAUACGGGCAUCACUGGAGUUCGGCAGGGGAGACUGGAAUUCCUGGUGUAGCGGUGAAAUGCGCAGAUAUCAGGAGGAACACCGGUGGCGAAGGCGGGUCUCUGGGCCGAUACUGACGCUGAGGAGCGAAAGCGUGGGGAGCGAACAGGAUUAGAUACCCUGGUAGUCCACGCCGUAAACGGUGGGCGCUAGGUGUGGGGGCCAUUCCACGGUCUCUGUGCCGCAGCUAACGCAUUAAGCGCCUCGCCUGGGGAGUACGGCCGCAAGGCUAAAACUCAAAGGAAUUGACGGAAUCGA
rnacentral:rRNA from 1 species